CCUACGGGUGGCAGCAGUGAGGAAUAUUGGUCAAUGGGCGUAAGCCUGAACCAGCCAAGUCGCGUGAGGGAUGAAGGUUCUAUGGAUCGUAAACCUCUUUUAUAAGGGAAUAAAGUGUGGGACGUGUCCUAUUUUGUAUGUACCUUAUGAAUAAGGAUCGGCUAACUCCGUACCAGCAGCCGCGGUAAUACGGAGGAUCCGAGCGUUGGCCGGAUUUAUUGGGUUUAAAGGGUUCGUAGGCGGCCUUUUAAGUCAGCGGUGAAAGUCUGUGGAUCAACCAUAGAAUUGCCGUUGAAACUGGGGGGCUUGAGUAUGUUUGAGGCAGGCGGAAUGCGUGGUGUAGCGGUGAAAUGCUUAGAUAUCACGCAGAACCCCGAUUGCGAAGGCAGCCUGCCAAGCCAUGACUGACGCUGAUGCACGAAAGCGUGGGGAUCAAACAGGAGUAGAUACCCUGGUAGUC
rnacentral:rRNA from 1 species